GACGAACGCUGGCGGCGUGCUUAACACAUGCAAGUCGGACGGAAAGGCCUGCUUUCCCUUGUGGAUUGCGGGUACUCGCGUGGCGAACGGGUGAGUAACACGUGAGUGAUCUGCCCCCAACUUGGGUAUAAGCCUGGGAAACUGGGUCUAAUUCCCGAUAGGACUGCAGGGUGGUGCCUGUGGUGGAAAACGAUUUUCUAGUGGUUGGGGAUGAGCUCGCGGCCUAUCAGCUUGUUGGUGGGGUAAUGGCCUACCAAGGCGGCGACGGGUAGCCGGCCUGGGAGGGUGGACGGCCACAUUGGGACUGAGAUACGGCCCAGACUCCUACGGGAGGCAGCAGUGGGGAAUAUUGCACAAUGGGCGGAAGCCUGAUGCAGCGACGCCGCGUGGGGGAUGACGGCCGUCGGGUUGUAAACCCCUUUCGACCGCGAGGAAGCCACCUGGUUGGAAGGGUGGUGACGGUAGUGGUAGAAGAAGCACCGGCUAACUACGUG
rnacentral:rRNA from 1 species